CUUGGUAGAAAAUGCACAAGGGGAUUUGCAUCUGGUUCUUAGCAGCCCUUUUAUAGAGCAUUAAUCUCAUCCACGACAGCAAAAUCUUCACUAUCAAAUAUCUUGCAAUGGCCCCACCUCUUAUUCUGUUGCUCUGGGGAUUAAGUUUCAACAUGAAUUUUGGAUAUAAAUAAUUAAACUAUAGCAGAUCCUACUUGCAAAUAAGGCCACGUUUACAAACUAGGACUUGAAUAUGUCUCUUUUGGGGGACACAGUUCAACCCACAACAGAUAGGCAGACGACCAAGUCUGCACAAACUUCCAACACUCUCACCUGAGCUCUGCUUUUUGGACUGGACAUCCGCUGUCUUUGUCACACAUCAUCAUCUUUAGCUUCCUUGCUCUUAACUUGGAAGAGGACGACCAGAUAAAAUACUGGAUGCAUGCUUAAAUUUCAAUCUCAAUGGAACAGUGAGUAAUUUCAUGGUAUAAAUAUGUUCCAAAUACUGCGUGAAAGUCCUAAGUUUUAUUUGCUAAACGUGGUUGGGGUUUGGAUCUUAAAUACCCCUCAGAGCCCCAUAUCCUGAAGGCUUGGUUGCCAGCUUGUGGCACUCGUGGAAGGCGGUGGAACGUUAUAUAGGCGGAGCCUAGCAGAAGAAAUUAGUCGUUGGGGCCGUGGCAUCGAAGGGAUAUGGGGCCCAGUCCCUCUGUGUGUCUUUCGUUGCCUCCUCGCUGUCACAGGAAAGUAGCUUUGCUCUAGUACAUGCUCCCCACCAUGGUGUUCUGUCUCACCACAGACCCCCAAAUAAGGAGCCGACCAAUCUAUGGACUGAAGUCUCUGAAACUGUAAGCCAACAUGCAUCUUGUUCUGUCUCAGUUUGGUUGCCUUAAGAAUUUUGUCGCAGCAGUGGAAAGCUGACUCACACACUUGCCAAUCCAAGUUCUACAACUCAUUUAAAGAUCUGGUCGUACCGGGAUCAAGCUUGGGCACUCCAGUUUGCCACCAUCCGUCAUAUCUACACCUGACUGAUUUCACUCAGUUACCUGUCUGGUCCCGCAAACAUUUCCUUUUGUGGUACUUCGUCUGGAGCUGGAGACCAGUUAGAAGGGAAGGCUGCAGAAGAUAAUUGUUAACUUCGUCUGGCCCAAGUCAUAGCAAGUGCUGCUCUCAAAGCCACAAAGAUUGGAUAAAACAUGAGAAUAGAGAUUAAAACCCACACCAAAAUGAGGAGACCAGAGCCAGAAACACAUUGAAGGUCAGUUGGUCAUUUAUUUUUCCAGUGAUCAUUUGUUAGAUGUUCCUCAUACAUUAACUUGCUUGGAACCUGCAAACUGGCUGAAUUGUAAAUCAGUUUAUGUGAAAUUAAAACCUUAAGUAAACACCACAUCCCGAAACUAACAGGAUAAGGCUCAGAGUUCAGGUAUUUAUUUCACCUCUCUAG
rnacentral:lncRNA from 1 species